GCCGGGUGCAGUGGCUCACACCUGUAAUCCCAACAUUUGGGAGGCCGAGGCGGGUGCAUCACCUGAGGUCAGGAGUUCUAGACCAGCCUGGCCAACAUGGUGAAACCCUGUCUCUA
rnacentral:SRP_RNA from 1 species